rnacentral:rRNA from 1 species
GACGAACGCUGGCGGCGUGCCUAAUACAUGCAAGUAGAACGCAAAGUUUAUACCGUAGCUUGCUACACCAUAGACUGUGAGUUGCGAACGGGUGAGUAACGCGUAGGUAACCUGCCUGGUAGCGGGGGAUAACUAUUGGAAACGAUAGCUAAUACCGCAUAAUAUUAAUUAUUGCAUGAUAAUUAAUUGAAAGGUGCAAUUGCACCACUGCCAGAUGGACCUGCGUUGUAUUAGCUAGUAGGUGAGGUAACGGCUCACCUAGGCGACGAUACAUAGCCGACCGGAGAGGGCGAUCGGCCGCACUGAGACGGAGACACGGCCCAGACGCCUUCGGGAGGCAGCAGGAGUGAAUCUUCGGCAAUGGGCGAAAGUCUGACCGAGCAACGCCGCGGGAGGGAAGAAGGUUUUCGGAUCGUAAAGCUCUGUUGUAAGAGAAGAACGAGUGUGAGAGUGGAAAGAUCACACUGUGACGGUAUCUUACCAGAAAGGGACGGCUAACUACGUG